AUACUUCCCUGGCAGGAGAGGUCCCAUGAUCUUUACAAAGGUGGUUUUCCCAGGGCGAGGCUUAUCUAUCCAUUGCACUCCAGAUGUGGUGACCCCUGCUAUUUCCCCAAAUGUGGGAAACUAAACUGCAUAAUUUAUGGUAGUGGGAGACUGCAUUUGCGCUUUCCCCUG